GGAGUGUGAGCCUUCCGUCACCCUGCCACCCGUGAACUUGCCCGGAUGGUGACAUCAACGUGAGUGCCAGGCAGGAAGCUGGCAUUUCAGCUCCAGAAAUAUCUCCAGAAGGAACCUGGAGCACGAGAGACGAGAGCCAGAUGAGAUGACGUCCGUCCCUCUCAGGCCUGGCGAGGCCUUUCUGCUGGUAAAAGUUCUCGGCUAAAAAUACCUACCUUCCCCCCAAAGCUGGGCCUCCUCUGUGAAGCUGCUAGUUUCUCCUUUAAGUCCUGAGUGGAAACGUCUGGUGGUGGUGCUGGCUGUGAGUGCGGGUUCCUGCAGAGGGCAGAAGAGGGCGCUGCACCCCCAAGGUACAUCCCUAGGGCUGGAAGUUGUGAGCCGCCCCACAAUACUGUUUCUCAAGGCAGGCUGUCUCCUUCUCCCUGGUGUCCUAAGGGCUUUCCUUCGUGAAUACACUGAGAAAUUCUUCGGCAUUUACAGCAGCAGUCACGUGAGCUGCCUCCUCUCCUGUGUGGAUUGGCUUUAGAAGAGCAAACCAACCUUGCCUCCUGAAGCGAAUCAACUUGCUUGCCGGGAGCUCGUGGCCAACACCCCUGUCAAGACA
rnacentral:lncRNA from 1 species